UGCAGGAAGUGGCAUCAGGCAUUAUAAAAAUGAUAGUGUAUAAAAUGUAAUAAUGCAUUAGCAGCUCAUCAAAACCAGUUUAUCACUAAAUCACUCCAAAUUUAAAUAUGUUAUUUCACAGUUCACAUCACUCCUGGUGACUGAUGCCAGUAAAGACCCCAUCAACACAGAAGGCUGGGUAAUGGGGUUGGUGGCCCACCCUAAUUCCAGCAACAUGAGGGUCUGGUUGGCUUGUGAGCACCCCAUGCCUGUGACCGGCGGGACAGAGCAGCCACCGGGAGCCAAGCCUGGAGCUGCCCGACCAGCUUCUCUGUCUGGCGAGGGGAAUAACCUCAUACCGCAAAAAUGAUUUACAGAAAUCUCAAGGCUGCCAAUACAGUCUUGCUCCAACUCUUGCAUUAGAGAGGGGAAAAUACUUGGUUUUAUAUUUAAAAUGAGGAAUAAUCUGUUCUCUGAAUUAGGACAGCUGAGGACUUUAUGUGCCCAGUGUAGCACAGCAUCAGGAAUUAUGAUGCUUAAAUUCACAUUCUGGUGUCCAGGGUCAAACCCCUCACUAAUGCCUUAAGACAUGGGGCAUAAAUAGACCAUGUCUUACUCUGCAGGCACACACAUUUAACUUCUGGGUUCCUUUUCAAGAUCGCCUCUCCAUUUACAGAAUUUUUUUACUGUCUGUUUACAAGAGAUUUCAAACCAUUCUUUAAGAAAUACAGUUUCAUUGCAUCAUAGGAGUAUUUUUGAUACAUAAUAUGAACAUUGGAUUACUAAAUAUAUAUUAUGUUGAACCUUUCUCUGAGCUCAUUCUGUUAAUCUUGAUACCGAGGUAACCUUGGUAAGGAAACAGGCACUGGCACAGAUGGUUUGGAAAAUGAAUCCUAACGUCGAUGUGGUGCAGCGUAGGAACAGAUGAAUACGCUAAAACAGACUGACACAUGGGCUGGAAAUGGAGGAAAUGCUCCAGGCCAUGCUCUGGGCUCAGUUUGUACAACUCGAGUCAUUAUAUACUUGCUGUCUCCCCGCCACGGUUACUUGAAGGAGGACUGUGCUCAGGCAGUGGCUGCAGUGCAGGUUUGUCUCCCAAAAGACAUAAUUUCUAAUGAUGACCUAGGACUGAGCCUUUUUUUGCAGGGAGUUUAUACAUUUCCAGGCUGGCCUUGCUGGACAGCAGUCUGUUUCUGUCCAAAUUGUUUCCACAUUGAAAGCACAGCGUUUAGCCAUGCAAAUAUGGCACUAAAUAACACUCCUACUGUGGUUUGAAUUUUAUGUACUAUAAGCAUUGCUAUUCAGGUGAUGAGUCCAAGGAGAUAAAAAGAUCAUGUCAUGCAUUUGAAAUGGCAGUAUUUUGUGGAUUUCCUGUUUAUAUUUCAAAUAUUAGGAGGCUACCAAGGUGGUCAUUUCAUUUAUAGAUGGUUUGGCUGAUGCUGGCAUCCAGUAUUUGCCCACCUCUGCUGUUUUUGCAGUAGCUGUUUCCUGUAUUUGACAGUCUCCCUGUGUUUUAUCCACAUGCUGGGCCAAGCACUUUCUCCAGCAAUUAUCCAAGAGGUGGUUAUAGGAGAACUGAGCCAUAUGUGACUGAGAGUUUAAAUACUGGCACAUGGACAGCCAACGUGCUCUUAAAAGCAAACGGCUAACUUGCAGAGGCGGUGAGGACCAGGAGAUGAAUGUCACCUUGCAACAUGUCACCUUGCGUUUUAUCCGUGGCUUGAAGGCCCACACAUAGCCUGAGGUCCCCGGACAAGAGCUGGGUCCAGCAGCACCUGACUUCCAGGGACCCUCGCUCCUGCCUGGAUCGAGCCCUCGAGCACGUCGGCUGCUGGAGCUGCGUGCGUGCACGGGCACAGCAGCCACUCUGCUUGCCACAGCAGGUUUCCCCAUGCAGUAAAUCGGUUAAUAACAGUAAAAUUUCUAAAGCCUUUUUUUUUAACCACAGAGAAUAAAUAAAGCCAAAGGCCGAAUGUGAGGAUGGUUUUAUUCAGGCCAGGUUUGAAUGCAGCCUCUAAUUUAGCCAAUAUACUUUGAAUUAUAUAUAGAUUUAACAUUUACUUCUCAGAAGCUUAAGGUUCCUUAAAAGGUCAUAUUUCAUUUUGUAUUAGAACAGGCCAUGUUGGCUUUCUGCUCGCGGUUUUUUUGCACGUAUGAGCACUUAAGGUAAAGUGUUUUCUACUUCCAAAAGCAGCAAGUGUACAGACACUUAAUAAAAAAAUGUUUUCUUCA